GAUAAACGCUGGCGGCGUGCCUAACACAUGCAAGUCGAACGAUCCCGCAAGGGAGAGUGGCGGAAGGGUGAGUAACACGUGGGAAUCUACCUCCUCGCAGGGAACAACCUCUCGAAAGAGAGGCUAAUACCCAAAAGGGUCAGAAAUGAUCAGAGUCGAAAGGCGUGAGGAGAGGAGCCCGCGGCCCAUCAGCUAGUUGGUGAGGUAAUGGCUUACCAAGGCUACGACGGGUAGGGAUCUGAGAGGAUGUCCCCCACACUGGAACUGAAACACGGUCCAGACGCCUACGGGUGGCAGCAGUGAGGAAUAUUGGACAAUGGGCGAAAAGCCCGAUCCAGCAACGCCGCGUGGAGGAUGAAGGCC
rnacentral:rRNA from 1 species